GCUUGACUGGCUCAGCCAGUAGAGCAUGUGACUCUUGAUCUUGGGGUCGUGAGUUCAAGUUCCAUGUUGGGCA
rnacentral:tRNA from 1 species